rnacentral:rRNA from 1 species
AACGAACGCUGGCGGCAUGCCUAACACAUGCAAGUCGAACGAGACCUUCGGGUCUAGUGGCGCACGGGUGCGUAACGCGUGGGAACCUGCCCUUAGGUUCGGAAUAACUCCCCGAAAGGGGUGCUAAUACCGGAUAAUGUCUUCGGACCAAAGAUUUAUCGCCUUUGGAUGGGCCCGCGUUGGAUUCGCUAGUUGGUAGGGUAAAAGCCUACCAAGGCGACGAUCCAUAGCUGGUCUGAGAGGAUGAUCAGCCACACUGGGACUGAGACACGGCCCAGACUCCUACGGGAGGCAGCAGUGGGGAAUAUUGGACAAUGGGCGAAAGUCUGAUCCAGCAAUGCCGCGUGAGUGAUGAAGGCCUUUGGGUUGUAAAGCUCUUUUACCCGGGAUGAUAAUGACAGUACCGGGAGAAUAAGCUCCGGCUAACUCCGUG